UACAGAGGUGGCAAGCGUUGUUCGGAAUUACUGGGCGUAAAGGGCGCGUAGGCGGCCUACUAAGUCAGACGUGAAAUCCCCCGGCUUAACCUGGGAACUGCGUCUGAUACUGGAAGGCUUGAGGAUGGGAGAGGGAUGUAGAAUUCCAGGUGUAGCGGUGAAAUGCGUAGAUAUCAGGAGGAACACCGGUGGCGAAGGCGGCUCUCUGGACCACAACUGACGCUGAGGCGCGAAAGCUAGGGGAGCAAACAGG
rnacentral:rRNA from 1 species